rnacentral:tRNA from 1 species
UCCCUGGUGGCCUAGCAGUUAAGGUUUGGCAUUAUCACUACUAUGGCUCAGGUUCAAUCCCAGGCCUGGGAA